UACAGAGGGUGCAAGCGUUAAUCGGAAUUACUGGGCGUAAAGCGUGCGUAGACGGUUACAUAAGUCGGGUGUGAAAGCCCCCGGGCUCAACCUGGGAAUUGCAUUCGAGACUGCGUAGCUAGGGUGCGGAAGAGGGAAGCGGAAUUUCCGGUGUAGCGGUGAAAUGCGUAGAUAUCGGAAGGAACACCAGUGGCGAAAGCGGCUUCCUGGUCCAGCACCGACGUCAGGCACGAAAGCGUGGGGAGCAAACAGG
rnacentral:rRNA from 1 species